rnacentral:rRNA from 1 species
GACGAACGCUGGCGGCGCGCCUUACGCAUGCAAGUCGAACGCUCCCCGACUCGUCGGGGGGCGUGGCGGACGGCUGAGUAACGCGUAGGUAACCUGUCCCUCAGUGGGGGAUAACCCCGCGAAAGCGGGGCUAAUACCGCAUACGUUCCCGCGGUGAAACACCGCGGGAGGAAAGCCGCAAGGCGCUGGAGGAGGGGCCUGCGUCCUAUCAGGUAGUUGGUGGGGUAAUGGCCUACCAAGCCUAUGACGGGUAGCUGGUCUGAGAGGACGACCAGCCAGACGGGGACUGAGACACGGCCCCGACUCCUACGGGAGGCAGCAGCGAGGAAUCUUGGGCAAUGGGCGAAAGCCUGACCCAGCGACGCCGCGUGGGGGAAGAAGGCCUUCGGGUCGUAAACCCCUUUUGCCGGGGAAGAAGUACUGACGGUACCCGGCGAAGAAGCCACGGCUAACUACGUGCCAGCCGCCGCGGUAAGAC